UGUUAAAAAUUUCAUCCAUUUGUACUAUUAAAAAUCGGCAUGUCUGACGAAAUAGUUUGACUAUGACACAUGAUGUGCCAUGUGCAUCCCAUGCUGAGGUGCAGUCAGUUUUUAACUGUAGAAAUGGAUAUAAUUUUUAAUA
rfam:Gossypium hirsutum cultivar TM-1 unplaced genomic scaffold scaffold4655.1, whole genome shotgun sequence